rnacentral:rRNA from 1 species
UACGUAGGGGGCGAGCGUUGUCCGGAAUUACUGGGCGUAAAGGGCGUGUAGGCGGCCUGUUAAGUCAGGGGUGAAACCCCGGGGCUCAACCCCGGGCCUGCCUCUGAGACUGGCGGGCUUGAGUGCUCCAGAGGGCAGCGGAAUUCCCGGUGUAGCAGUGAAAUGCGUAGAGAUCGGGAGGAACACCAGUGGCGAAGGCGGCUGCCUGGGGAGUAACUGACGCUGAGGCGCGAAAGCUAGGGGAGCAAACAGGAUUAGAUACCCUGGUAGUCCUAGCCGUAAACGAUGAGCGCUAUGUGUGGCGGGUAUCGACCCCUGCCGUGCAGUAGCAAACGCAUUAAGCGCUCCGCCUGGGGAGUACGGCCGCAAGGUUGAA